GGUUAAGCGACUAAGCGUACACGGUGGAUGCCCUGGCAGUCAGAGGCGAUGAAGGACGUGCUAAUCUGCGAUAAGCGUCGGUAAGGUGAUAUGAACCGUUAUAACCGGCGAUUUCCGAAUGGGGAAACCCAGUGUGUUUCGACACACUAUCAUUAACUGAAUCCAUAGGUUAAUGAGGCGAACCGGGGGAACUGAAACAUCUAAGUACCCCGAGGAAAAGAAAUCAACCGAGAUUCCCCCAGUAGCGGCGAGCGAACGGGGAGCAGCCCAGAGCCUGAAUCAGUGUGUGUGUUAGUGGAAGCGUCUGGAAAGGCGCGCGAUACAGGGUGACAGCCCCGUACACAAAAAUGCACAUACUGUGAGCUCGAUGAGUAGGGCGGGACACGUGGUAUCCUGUCUGAAUAUGGGGGGACCAUCCUCCAAGGCUAAAUACUCCUGACUGACCGAUAGUGAACCAGUACCGUGAGGGAAAGGCGAAAAGAACCCCGGCGAGGGGAGUGAAAAAGAACCUGAAACCGUGUACGUACAAGCAGUGGGAGCCUCUUAAUGGGGUGACUGCGUACCUUUUGUAUAAUGGGUCAGCGACUUAUAUUCUGUAGCAAGGUUAACCGAAUAGGGGAGCCGAAGGGAAACCGAGUCUUAACUGGGCGUUAAGUUGCAGGGUAUAGACCCGAAACCCGGUGAUCUAGCCAUGGGCAGGUUGAAGGUUGGGUAACACUAACUGGAGGACCGAACCGACUAAUGUUGAAAAAUUAGCGGAUGACUUGUGGCUGGGGGUGAAAGGCCAAUCAAACCGGGAGAUAGCUGGUUCUCCCCGAAAGCUAUUUAGGUAGCGCCUCGUGAAUUCAUCUCCGGGGGUAGAGCACUGUUUCGGCAAGGGGGUCAUCCCGACUUACCAACCCGAUGCAAACUGCGAAUACCGGAGAAUGUUAUCACGGGAGACACACGGCGGGUGCUAACGUCCGUCGUGAAGAGGGAAACAACCCAGACCGCCAGCUAAGGUCCCAAAGUCAUGGUUAAGUGGGAAACGAUGUGGGAAGGCCCAGACAGCCAGGAUGUUGGCUUAGAAGCAGCCAUCAUUUAAAGAAAGCGUAAUAGCUCACUGGUCGAGUCGGCCUGCGCGGAAGAUGUAACGGGGCUAAACCAUGCACCGAAGCUGCGGCAGCGACACUGUGUGUUGUUGGGUAGGGGAGCGUUCUGUAAGCCUGUGAAGGUGUGCUGUGAGGCAUGCUGGAGGUAUCAGAAGUGCGAAUGCUGACAUAAGUAACGAUAAAGCGGGUGAAAAGCCCGCUCGCCGGAAGACCAAGGGUUCCUGUCCAACGUUAAUCGGGGCAGGGUGAGUCGACCCCUAAGGCGAGGCCGAAAGGCGUAGUCGAUGGGAAACAGGUUAAUAUUCCUGUACUUGGUGUUACUGCGAAGGGGGGACGGAGAAGGCUAUGUUGGCCGGGCGACGGUUGUCCCGGUUUAAGCGUGUAGGCUGAUUUUCCAGGCAAAUCCGGAAAAUCAAGGCUGAGGCGUGAUGACGAGGCACUACGGUGCUGAAGCAACAAAUGCCCUGCUUCCAGGAAAAGCCUCUAAGCAUCAGGUAACAUCAAAUCGUACCCCAAACCGACACAGGUGGUCAGGUAGAGAAUACCAAGGCGCUUGAGAGAACUCGGGUGAAGGAACUAGGCAAAAUGGUGCCGUAACUUCGGGAGAAGGCACGCUGAUAUGUAGGUGAAGUCCCUCGCGGAUGGAGCUGAAAUCAGUCGAAGAUACCAGCUGGCUGCAACUGUUUAUUAAAAACACAGCACUGUGCAAACACGAAAGUGGACGUAUACGGUGUGACGCCUGCCCGGUGCCGGAAGGUUAAUUGAUGGGGUUAGCGGUAACGCGAAGCUCUUGAUCGAAGCCCCGGUAAACGGCGGCCGUAACUAUAACGGUCCUAAGGUAGCGAAAUUCCUUGUCGGGUAAGUUCCGACCUGCACGAAUGGCGUAAUGAUGGCCAGGCUGUCUCCACCCGAGACUCAGUGAAAUUGAACUCGCUGUGAAGAUGCAGUGUACCCGCGGCAAGACGGAAAGACCCCGUGAACCUUUACUAUAGCUUGACACUGAACAUUGAGCCUUGAUGUGUAGGAUAGGUGGGAGGCUUUGAAGUGUGGACGCCAGUCUGCAUGGAGCCGGCCUUGAAAUACCACCCUUUAAUGUUUGAUGUUCUAACGUUGGCCCCUGAUCGGGGUUGCGGACAGUGUCUGGUGGGUAGUUUGACUGGGGCGGUCUCCUCCUAAAGAGUAACGGAGGAGCACGAAGGUUGGCUAAUCCUGGUCGGACAUCAGGAGGUUAGUGCAAUGGCAUAAGCCAGCUUGACUGCGAGCGUGACGGCGCGAGCAGGUGCGAAAGCAGGUCAUAGUGAUCCGGUGGUUCUGAAUGGAAGGGCCAUCGCUCAACGGAUAAAAGGUACUCCGGGGAUAACAGGCUGAUACCGCCCAAGAGUUCAUAUCGACGGCGGUGUUUGGCACCUCGAUGUCGGCUCAUCACAUCCUGGGGCUGAAGUAGGUCCCAAGGGUAUGGCUGUUCGCCAUUUAAAGUGGUACGCGAGCUGGGUUUAGAACGUCGUGAGACAGUUCGGUCCCUAUCUGCCGUGGGCGCUGGAGAACUGAGGGGGGCUGCUCCUAGUACGAGAGGACCGGAGUGGACGCAUCACUGGUGUUCGGGUUGUCAUGCCAAUGGCACUGCCCGGUAGCUAAAUGCGGAAGAGAUAAGUGCUGAAAGCAUCUAAGCACGAAACUUGCCCCGAGAUGAGUUCUCCCUGACUCCUUGAGAGUCCUGAAGGAACGUUGAAGACGACGACGUUGAUAGGCCGGGUGUGUAAGCGCAGCGAUGCGUUGAGCUAACCGGUACUAAUGAACCGUGAGGCUUAACCUU
rnacentral:rRNA from 1 species